rnacentral:rRNA from 1 species
GAGCUCCAAAACGAACUUGCGACUCUCCCCCCGACCCUCACCCCCAUCGCCCGCCGCCUUCGGCCUCCCCCGCCCGAUCUCGCCGUCGCCAUGGAGGACGACGACGAGUUCGGCGACCUCUACACGGACAUCGUCCUCCCGACGGCCGAGCCCCCCAGGCCGCCGCCGCCCGCCGAAACCCCGCCGCGCGCAGCCCCGGCCCCAAACCCUAAUUCCGCGCCAGCUCCCGCGUCGGCCGCGGCAGCGGCGGGCGCCGAGGAAGACGACGACGACGACUGGCUGCUCGGAGGGGGCGAACCCCUCGCCGGGGUCGACCCCACCACCGACUGGGUCGACGAGGACGACGAUGGCGGCGCGGCCCCCGCCGUGAAGCGCGAGGUUGAUGCGAAGCCGCCGCCCCCCGCCGCGGAGGAUCCCGAUCCGCUCAUGGGGGUCGGCGCGGACGACCCCGGGGCGGCCAUCCCGGGGCUCUCGUCCUCGGCGGCGGCCGGUGGUGCGGCCGGGAGCGAGGACUGGGAUAGCGACAGCGAGGACGACCUCCAGAUCGUGCUCAACGAGACGGACGGACGCCGGCGGCUCGGGGAGGACGAAGGCGACGACGAGGACGGGGAAGACCUCCUCAUCGUCGCCGAUGGGCUUCACAUCCCCGGCAUGGAGGAGCAGGAGUGGGUGGAGGACGGGACAGCGGCUGGGCCCGAGGGAGAGAGAAAAGAGGGCGGUGAGCCUGGGAAGACGGGCCCCAUGCCUGGCGGGAGGAUCGGGUACAGUGGCGGCGGCCCGGGGUUCAACCCGCAGCACCAUUCCAUGUUCAAGUAUGUACGACCUGGUGCUCCAACCGGUGGGGCUCCUGGUGCUCCUGGCCAAUUCCGUCCACCUGGACCCCAGGGACCUUUUUCUGGUCGAGGAAGAGGAGACUGGCGGCCUGGUGCUGGUAGGGGCAUGAAUAAAGGUUUUCAUUCAGGCUAUGGAAUGACUCCAUGGGGUGGUGCUGGUCGUGGUUUCGGUGGCGGACUAGAUUUCACACUUCCUCCUCACAAGAUAAUUUUUGAUAUUGACAUUGACACCACAUUUGAGGAAAAGCCAUGGAAAUACUCUGGUGCUGAAAUUUCAGACUUCUUCAACUUUGGGCUUGAUGAGGAGAAAUGGAAAGACUACUGCAAGCAACUGGAUCAAUCACGAUUGGAGUCCACAAUGCAAUCUAGAAUACGGGUGUACGAGAGUGGGCGCUCAGAACAGGACUACGAUCCAGAUUUGCCACCGGAGCUAGCUGCUGCGGCUGGCCAUCACGACAUAUCUGCUGAUAAUCGGAAUAAAGUAGAUAAUGGACAUGCAGAUUUCAGUGCCCAAGGGAGAGUUCCUACAAGCAACCGACCUGCAGUGAUGAUGGGCAGACCUAUACAAGUUGAAACUGGUUAUGGAGAACGUUUUCCGUCUGCUGAUACACGUUCGCGAAUGCGUGAUUCGGAUUCUGUUAUAGAGAUUGUAUGUGAGGCUCCGGCAGAUGAUCCAAUAGUUGCUGAUAGUUCAGUGGAUCAGUCUGAGAAGGAUUCUCAAGGAGGUAAAAAAAGCAACGGUGUUGAGGAGAGCGAGGUGUAUACACCAGAGAAGACGAAUAAUUCUUCUUAUAAUUCCACCUUGGGAAAGGCAGAACAUACCAGAAGGUUGCCUGUCUCAUCUGAAGGUGAUAUGCUCACAUCAGAUGUUCACGGCCGUUCCCCGCCGAACUACAAAAUAAGGGGCUCUCCUUCUCGUGGAGUAAGGUUGAAAGGACGCUCUCAGGGUGUAAACCCUAGCCGAGAAGCUGAAAGCUCCAAUGAAGUACCUCGCAAAACAACAUCCUCCAAGAGACGCCGUGAUACCCCGAGAGAUAGCAAACCUGUUGAUGACUCGGAAACUAAGGAUGGCUUAAAAGGGUCACCUACUGUUGCUGAUGAAACGACAGACAAGCUGAGCACAGAAGAUCAAUUUGCUGAUAAUGAUGAUAGGCUUGCUUUGGUUGAUAGUGCUGAAGCAGAUGCUGAUGAUGCUAUCUCAGAACCUCACAUGGCUAGUGAUACGAAUGAGGGUGAUCACGAGGAUCAUUCUAGUAAAAGGCAGAAGAUCAUUUCUAAGGUUGAGCAGCCCCCUAGACACAAUAAUAGUAGUGAUCAAGUCGAUUUGAAGACACUGAAUAGUGAAAACAGUAGAGGAGUGAGGUCUGGUAGCAGCAAAGAUCAUCAGAAACGCCUUGAAUCUGGUGAAGAAGUUCUGCAGGAUAGGCGAUCCAGACGUGUAAAUGAUGCGAGAAGGCAUCAUGAUGGAGAAGAACGUGAUCCCCGUCGAAAGGAUGUGUCUGCUCGAGACAUCAAACCUGAAAUAGAAAGGACACAUCUGGCUUCUAGAGGUAGGGAUGAUAUCCACCAUCCUUAUGGGAACAGAGAUCAGGACGUACGCGGUAAAAGUUUUGAUAGGGUAAGAGAAACUGAAAUUUUGCAGAGGAGAGAAGACAGCAUGCACAACAGAAGAGGCAAGGAGGAAGAUUUGAGACUCAACUACAAUGCUGAAGUUGGUGCAAGACAGAGAAAUAAGUUGAGACCUAUUGAUAGGAAUGACAGGGAUGAAGAUCCUCAUCCAAGGAAAUUGCUGGAUGAUGGUGACUGGAGGGGCUCUAGACAAAGAGAGCGUGGUGAUAUGGUUUUGAAUAGUCGUGAAAGUUUAGAUGAUUCUCAUAUCAAGAGAAAGAAAGAUGAAGAGAACACCAGGAGAAUGAAACCCGAGAAUGAAGAUGCAGUGCACGGUUAUAGAGGAAGGGAUGAUCCAAACAGAAGGAAGAGAGAACGGGAUGAUGGAAUUGAUCAGAAAAGAAGAGACGAUGGUGUUAGGAUGCGGGAGAAGGCUGAUGAUCGUAGUUUUGUGAAGAAUAAAGAGGACAACUUGCGACAGAGAGAGAAGGACGACAAGCAGAGGCCUAAGCAUGAAAGCACACUGCUCCUUCAGAGAGAAGAAGGCAGAGGAACUGGUCGGGGUGGACGGGUUAUGGAUGAAAAAAUUGUCAGUGGUGGUAGGAAGAAGGAUGAAUCAAGAUCUGCAUUGUUGAGCAAAGAAACCCAAGAGCGCAGCAAACAGAAUGAGCCUGGGAGGAGAGGUCAAGGUGCAGAAGAAAACAACACGCAGAAUAAAGGGCGAGCUGAUGUGCGUCCACGUGAUGACAAUCCCAAUAACAAUGAAAGGAACUCCAGACAAGAUAAAAUAAACAAGACCCAUGACAAUAAUCGUGUAUCUAGCAGUUCUGAUGCUCGCCAGGCUAAUAGGGAUAAGCCCAGGGAGAGCACAAGAAAGGGCAGAGGCUCUGUGCCAAAUGAGCAAGAUCUUCACAGAUCUAGCAAGAGAAGACGGGAAGACCAUGAAAGCCAUCGUAGUGGGAAGGUUGAGGUGAAAGGAGGGAGGGAGCAAGAAAAUGGUAGGGAUCAUGCUACAUCAUCCAAAACGAGCAAGAAUCCUCAACGACAUGAUUCAUUUGUGAAACAAGGGGAAGAAGAAGCCAUGUCAGACGAUGAGAACACCGAUGAUUCAAGAAGGGGUCGGUCUAAGCUGGAGCGAUGGACAAGCCACAAAGAGAUUGACUAUAGUACUAUUGAUAAUGAGACCACACAUGCAUUUCCUUCCAUCAAAGCUGAUGUUCAACCCCCCACUGCUGAUGCGUCAGGUAAAUCUGAUGUUCCUGCUAUAGUUGUCAGUUCGGACAUGAAGAACAGUGGUGAUAAUGGGCAAGCCUCUGAGAUGACGGCUGAAGAGCGUGACCGACAUCUAGACACGGUUGAGAGGCUCAAGAGAAGAAGCGAACGUUUCAAACUUCCCAUGCCUGGCGAGAAGGAGGUACCCCAGAACAAAAAGGUUGAUGCUGAAGUGCAGACUCCCCAGAAUGAAUCGCCUGCUGCUGACGUUGAAGUGAAGCCUGAGCGGCCAGCUCGCAAGAGGAGAUGGGCUGGGAGUUGAUUGGAAGUCAGAAACAUAUAUCCUCAUCUGAAGUGGUGGCACAGCUCAUGGAGAAGCUGGAAACGUAUCCUCAUCUGAGGAAGUCGCGGCACAGCUGAGCUCGCGCAAUGCUUUUCUCUGUUACAACUGAAAGUUGAACUGAUGUAUGAUCUGUACUGUAUAACUUAGAUCUGUAACUGUAACCAUACAUACAUGUUCAUUUGUGGCUGGGGACCUGGAUACUUUUUUUUUCUUUUCCGAUUCUUCCCCUUAAUUCCGGGGAUCGGGAAUGUGUGGCACUGGUGCCACCAGACUCCGGGUAGCCAUGUGUUCUUUGUGGGAAACCUUGGAGGUUUCCAGCUUCACCUGCUAAGGAGCCACAAGGCACUUUUGAAGCUGGCGUGGGGAUGCUGCAAGGCGCCUUGUUAUGAGCUGCCAUUGGCACACUGGAUUUUGCAUCACUCUUCUACUGGUGUUACUUGAGAGCUUUUGUUUGUGGGCCAAGAAGAGCUGGGGAUCUCUGGAGUGCUUCGAGUUAUGACAAGUGCUGUGUGUGUUUGAUAUUAUUAUGUGUAUGUACAUUAUGAUAAUAUCUUGGACUGGUGUGCAUAGGAUGCAACAAGAUAGAUUCUAUAGUACAAGUGCAUGUUGCAGUGAAUGUCGUGGACAAUGCAUGCGAUAAUAUCCUAUACCUGUAGACAGUGGUAGGCAAAAAAAGGUUAUAUGCUUGUUUAGCUUAUUUUUUUCUAGCGAUGUACAUGUAACUAGUCAUCAGGAAUUUUGCCUAUGGAAAAACUGUCGCCUGAUUGAAUUUUGGUUGGCACUUGAAGUUGCAUAUCUGUUGGGAGGUGCUAGUAAUACAGUGAAAUUGCUCCCCUAUUGCGAGCUGAUCUCAACAACACGGCCAGCCAUUGACCAUUGCAGCAUAGUAGAAAGCAAGAGUUGCGUCAGGCUCGCGCCGAACCACCUGAGCCGUCAGGCUGGAGCUGGACCAGCGGCCGCGAAUGAGCGGCACAUCCUCGUGGACCAACUGGUGGUCGGCGAUGCUGACCUCCCACGCCUCACCCACCACAAAUAAUUUUGCUCCCUUCAUUUUU